CCUACGGGAGGCAGCAGUGGGGAAUAUUGCACAAUGGGGGAAACCCUGAUGCAGCGACGCCGCGUGAGUGAAGAAGUAUUUCGGUAUGUAAAGCUCUAUCAGCAGAGAAGAUGAAAGACGGUACCUGACUAAGAAGCCCCGGCUAACUACGUGCCAGCAGCCGCGGUAAUACGGAGGGGGCAAGCGUUAUCCGGAUUUACUGGGUGUAAAGGGAGCGUAGACGGCUGUGCAAGUCUGAAGUGAAAGCCAAGGGCGUAACCCUGGGACUGCUUUGGAAACUGUGGAGCUAGAGUGCGGGAGAGGUAAGUGGAAUUCCUAGUGUAGCGGUGAAAUGCGUAGAGAUUAGGAGGAACACCAGUGGCGAAGGCGGCUUACUAGACAGUAACUGACGUUGAUGCGCGAAAGCGUGGGGAGCAAACAGGAUUAGAUACCCCUGUAGUC
rnacentral:rRNA from 1 species